GCAGCCGCCGCGGUAAUACGAAGGGUGCAAGCGUUACUCGGAAUUACUGGGUGUAAAGCGUGCGUAGGUGGUGGUUUAAGUCCGUUGUGAAAGCCCUGGGCUCAACCUGGGAAUUGCAGUGGAUACUGGGUCACUAGAGUGUGGUAGAGGAUAGUGGAAUUUCCGGUGUAGCAGUGAAAUGCGUAGAGAUCGGAAGGAACAUCUGUGGCGAAGGCGACUAUCUGGGCCAACACUGACACUGAGGCACGAAAGCGUGGGGAGCAAACAGGAUUAGAUACCCCUGUAGUCCCUGUCUCUUAUAC
rnacentral:rRNA from 1 species